CACAGAGUUAGCCGGGGCUGCUUCUGGGGGUACUGUCCGUAUCAUCCCCCCUGAAAGGAGUUUACAACCCGAAGGCCGUCGUCCUCCACGCGGCGUUGCUCCAUCGGGCUUGCGCCCAGUGUGGAAGAUUCCUCGCUGCUGCCACCCGUAGGUGUCUGGGCCGUGUCUCAGUCCCAGUCUGGCUGAUCGUCCUCACAGACCAGCUACCCGUCGCGGGCUUGGUAGGCCAUUACCCCACCAACAACCUGAUGGGCCGCACGCCCCUCCGCCUGCGCCCGAAGGCUUUCCUCAUGCCAAGCAUGAGCGUACGCGGGAUUAGCUCACCUUUCGGUGGGGUAUUCCCCACAAGCGGGCAGGUUCGUACGUGUUCCUCAGCCGUUCGCCACGCACGGUCCUAAAGGACCGUGCGUGCGACUUACAUGCGUUAGGCACGCCGCCAGCGUUGAUCCUGAGCCAGGAUCAAACUAC
rnacentral:rRNA from 1 species